rnacentral:lncRNA from 1 species
UCGUAAAACUAAAAAUUAAUUUUUUUAUCAAUGAAUAUAGACAUAUAUUAUAUACUACAGACAUUAAAUCUGCAUUUGAACAAAUAUAUACAAGGAGCAAACCCACCCAAAUCAAGCGUCGCCUGCCACCCAACAAAGCAACAGGCAACCCCAAAAAAGCCGCACAGGUUCAGCAACAGACCUGACACAACCAAAAGCCACCACAAAAUCAGGCCCCCACCCAAAAACCUCAUCGAACCUAAUCUGGUUCCCAACAAAAGCUACACAACUGAAGCCAUUCCACCAUCUGCUGAUUUGAAAACAGACCUGCGACUUUAAGCCAAUGCCCAACAACAGAACUAAUCCUAUAAGCAACUUGCAACACAAAACUACAUAUAUCCUUGAAGAUUCUCCUAUUUCUCUCAAGCCAUAUAAACCAACAAAAAGCGUGCAAAAGAACCCACAACACCACUGCAAAUUCGAUUGAACAGUUUAAUACUUACCAACCUAUAAUAACCCCAGCCAUUCGAUGGUGGAAAGGACCAAAGUUGGAAAGGGCAGAACUGAACCUCACCCAUACCUGUCGAGAGCACUUGCAAAAAUAGAAAAAUGUGGCUCACUAAUUCCGCCUCCCGCCGACACAAGUAGCACCAAUUUACAGCACUAGGACCUCUCUUUUUCAUAUUUUCCACUAUAAGGAUACUGUCUUGGAAAACCAGUCAAAUGAAGGCUUGGAUCUUGGUUGGAACUUCCUUCUGCCAAAUGCUCUGAUACAAAAAAUUCUCCACCCCCGAGAAAGUUUGUCUACGCAGCUCUGCCAUAAAUGAUUUCAUCGAAAAGGCGAGGAGUUAUGCAGGGUCCACAUCACCCUGACAGGCCCCAUCGAAAAGGCUUAAACGGAAAGAUUUGCUAGAAAUGCUUGGAAUAGUAGUCAUUCUUUCGCAGCUCCGCCUCUUACAUGGAAGCGAAAGGGGCUUAUCAAAUCGUACCAUGCAAUCAUCAUCAACGCAAAACAAAAGCAUCAAGUCCAAGUAUUGAGCCGAAGCUCCAAUCCUUGGGAAAGUAGAAGCAAGCCUCACAUCCUUCACCCAAAAAUCGCUCCAAAAGGACCCC